rnacentral:rRNA from 1 species
UACGUAGGGGGCAAGCGUUGUCCGGAUUUACUGGGCGUAAAGGGCGCGUAGGCGGUCAGCACAAGUCAGUUGUGAAAUCUCCGGGCUUAACUCGGAAAGGUCAACUGAUACUGUGCGACUAGAGUGCAGAAGGGGCAACUGGAAUUCUCGGUGUAGCGGUGAAAUGCGUAGAUAUCUGGAGGAACACCGGUGGCGAAGGCGGCAUCCUGGACCGGUAUUGACGCUGAUGCGCGAAAGCCAGGGGAGCAAACGGG